GAUGAACGCUGGCGGCGUGCUUAACACAUGCAAGUCGAACGGAAAGGCCAGUGCUUGCACUGGUACUCGAGUGGCGAACGGGUGAGUAACACGUGGGUGAUCUGCCCUGCACUUCGGGAUAAGCCUGGGAAACUGGGUCUAAUACCAGAUAGGACAAUGGUUUGGAUGCCGUUGUGGAAAGUUUUUUCGGUGUGGGAUGAGCUCGCGGCCUAUCAGCUUGUUGGUGGGGUAAUGGCCUACCAAGGCGUCGACGGGUAGCCGGCCUGAGAGGGUGUACGGCCACAUUGGGACUGAGAUACGGCCCAGACUCCUACGGGAGGCAGCAGUGGGGAAUAUUGCACAAUGGGCGCAAGCCUGAUGCAGCGACGCCGCGUGGGGGAUGACGGCCUUCGGGUUGUAAACUCCUUUCGCUAGGGACGAAGCGUAUUUGUGACGGUACCUGGAGAAGAAGCACCGGCUAACUACGU
rnacentral:rRNA from 1 species